ensembl:lncRNA
AUGGCAUUUCCCUCCCAUGGCCCCGGAGUGGUGGUGGGUGCCUUAUGUUCCCAGCAGACUGCAAUAUCCCAUCCCGGAUACGUGGCUGUAAAUUCCACACGUCUACAUGGAAUUCAUUGCACGUCAGCCCAGGAGCAAACUUCACCUCCGAGCCGGAUGGUGUGCGGGGAGAGGGAGCAGCAAACCCUUUGCAACGUGUUCGAAGCGAGAGCCUCCGUCACAGCACGCCGCUGCGGCCGUGAGAAACCCCAGCUCAGAGGAUGGUUUUCUGAUGGGGCUUUUUUUAAUACGACUGGCCUGGCCCUGGGGCUGGGCACCCCACAGCAGGCAACUUGGGGCGGCGAGCGUGAGGCGUUUUCAUGCACCGUGCUCAUGUGCAAGCAAGAGUGCAAAGCGCUGGGGAGCCAGCGUGCUGCUGGCAUUGCCUCUGUGUUGUUAAUUCAAAGUGAACAGGGUAGCUCAAGCCUUGGAAGAGGCAUGGGAUGGCUUGUUUCUCCCCUGGCUCAUGCUGUGCCCUUCGACGCAUGGACAGCCAAACCUGRGUGGUACUUCUGCAUCGAAGCAAACCCUAAUUAAACAGUGAUUGGCACCAAACUCAGCCCCCGACUGGGAUGUCGGCACUGGAGCUGGGGGAAGGGAUUUGGGCGUCCAAAUCCCAGUGCUUCCUCUGCAAAUCCCAGUCUCCCCAGCGCAUCUCCACAUCCUCCUGCUCUGUGCUCAUGGGCAAGUGGCACGGCCAGGUUCCCCAGCGCGGUGCCUCAGUUUCCCCUCUCACCCCGUCCCACCAGUGGUGAGGCUGUGUGACCCACCGGCUGCAGGAAAGCUGCCAGGGCCCCCGAAAGGAGGGUUUGCAGCACCCCAAAACUGCUCCAGCUUCCAUGGAGAAACACAACAGUCAUCUCCAGGCGUGCACAGGGUGCUGGGCUUGUCCUGGCACUGCGGCUGUACCUGGCUGGAGGAGCUGCAAAUGCAAAUGCAAAUGCAGACCUGGCUGGAGCAGCUGGAAAUGCAAAUGUAAUGCCACAUACACAACUAACAGCUUUACAGGUGGCCAGUUGUGAGGAAAAUGGAUCAAAAAAGGAACAAGCCAGGCCUGCCCCAGGGAUCCUUGCAGCCUUGGCCAGGCUUUUCUUCCCCCUCUCUCCUCCUCUUUUUCUGAAAUCCAUGCCUCAGUUUCACUGCCUGUAAAAAUAGGGGUUGCUUCAAAAUGCUGCAUGCAUGAACCAGCGCAGGGGAUUAGCCCCAAGCAGGGGGCCAGGUUAUCCCAGCCCAGGGCUGCAAGGUGCCACCAGCAUGAUGAAUGCAGAUGCAGAGGGCCGGCUCUGCUCCCAGGCGUCGCAGACCGAGACGCGGACCCAGCAACCCAGUGCAGGCUCUGGAUGCUGCCGACAGCCRCGAGGAUUUCACGGGGAGGAGAGACUUUUCUGGAGCUCAGCCUGCAGCUAAACAAAUUCAAAUGGGAAUGAAAACAUGCUUUUUCAACAUGAGAAAAAAAAGGAGUCUGGCAGACCCUUCCCAAGGCAGGGAUAGUGCCUUAAAAAUCCCGGCUGUAAAACACCAGCUCCCGGCAUGGCAG